rnacentral:SRP_RNA from 1 species
GCCGAGUGUGGUGGUGCAUGCCUGUAGUCCCAGCUACUCCGGAGGCUGAGAGGCAGAGGAAUUGCUUGAACCUGGGAGGUGGAGGUUGCGGUGAGCAGAAAUCAUGCCAUUGCACUCCAGCCUGGACGACAGAGCGAGACUCUGUCUAAA